rnacentral:rRNA from 1 species
AUUGAACGCUGGCGGCAUGCUUUACACAUGCAAGUCGAACGGCAGCACGGGGGCAACCCUGGUGGCGAGUGGCGAACGGGUGAGUAAUGCAUCGGAACGUACCCAGUCGUGGGGGACAACGUAGCGAAAGUUACGCUAAUACCGCAUACGACCUGAGGGUGAAAGCAGGGGAUCGCAAGACCUUGCGCGAUUGGAGCGGCCGAUGUCAGAUUAGCUAGUUGGUGGGGUAAAGGCUCACCAAGGCGACGAUCUGUAGCGGGUUUGAGAGGAUGAUCCGCCACACUGGGACUGAGACACGGCCCAGACUCCUACGGGAGGCAGCAGUGGGGAAUUUUGGACAAUGGGGGCAACCCUGAUCCAGCCAUGCCGCGUGCGGGAAGAAGGCCUUCGGGUUGUAAACCGCUUUCGGACAGAAAGAAAUCGCAUGGGCUAAUACCCUGUGUGGAUGACGGUACUGUGAGAAGAAGCACCGGCUAACUACGUGCCAGCCGCCGCCGUAAUAC